CCUACGGGUGGCAGCAGUGAGGAAUAUUGGUCAAUGGCCGGAAGGCUGAACCAGCCAUGCCGCGUGAAGGUCAGUGCCCUAUGGGCGUUAAACUUCUUUUGUGCGGGAGCAAUAAUGGUCACGUGUGGCCAGACGAGAGUACCGUACGAAUAAGCAUCGGCUAACUCCGUGCCAGCAGCCGCGGUAAUACGGGGGAUGCAAGCGUUAUCCGGAUUUAUUGGGUUUAAAGGGUGCGUAGGCGGUUUGAUAAGUUAGAGGUGAAAUGUCGGGGCUCAACCCCGAAACUGCCUCUAAUACUGUUGGACUAGAGAAUAGUUGCGGUAGGCGGAAUGUAUGGUGUAGCGGUGAAAUGCUUAGAGAUCAUACAGAACACCGAUUGCGAAGGCAGCUUACCAAACUAUAUCUGACGUUGAGGCACGAAAGCGUGGGUAGCAAACAGGAUUAGAUACCCUAGUAGUC
rnacentral:rRNA from 1 species